rnacentral:rRNA from 1 species
CAAUAGCGUAUAUUAAAGUUGUUGCAGUUAAAAAGCUCGUAGUUGGAUUUCUGAUCGAGACAUCAGGUCGGGUCCGAGAGGAUCAUGUACUUUGAUUUUGUUUUGAUCAUCCUUGGGGAGAGCAUUUCUGGCAUUCAGUUGUCGGGAUUGGGAUCCUCAUCGCUUACUGUGAAAAAAUUAGAGUGUUCAAAGCAGGCCUCGGCCUCUGAAUACAUUAGCAUGGAAUAAUAAGAUAGGACUUUGGUGGUCUAUUUUGUUGGUUUGCACGCCAAAGUAAUGAUUAAUAGGGAUAGUUGGGGGUAUUCGUAUUCAAUUGUCAGAGGUGAAAUUCUUGGAUUUAUGGAAGACGAACUACUGCGAAAGCAUUUACCAAGGAUGUUUUCAUUAA